rnacentral:rRNA from 1 species
UACGGGAGGCAGCAGUGGGGAAUAUUGGACAAUGGGCGCAAGCCUGAUCCAGCCAUGCCGCGUGUGUGAAGAAGGCCUUUUGGUUGUAAAGCACUUUAAGCGAGGAGGAGGCUCUCUUAGUUAAUACCUAAGAUGAGUGGACGUUACUCGCAGAAUAAGCACCGGCUAACUCUGUGCCAGCAGCCGCGGUAAUACAGAGGGUGCGAGCGUUAAUCGGAUUUUACUGGGCGUAAAGCGUGCGUAGGCGGCUUUUUUAAGUCGGAUGUGAAAUCCCCGAGCUUAACUUGGGAAUUGCAUUCGAUACUGGGAAGCUAGAGUAUGGGAGAGGAUGGUAGAAUUCCAGGUGUAGCGGUGAAAUGCGUAGAGAUCUGGAGGAAUACCGAUGGGCGAAGGCAGCCAUCUGGGCCUAAUACUGACGCUGAGGUCGAAAGCAUGGGGA